CCUCUGCGCAAGACAGUACAGAUCACAAUGAUGAAUCAGAUGCGAAAAAGUCCGACACUGAUAAUAAAAAGCCCUCUACGCAAGACAGUGCAGAUCACAGUGAUGGAUUAGAUGCGAAAAAGUCCGAAAGUGAUAAUAAAAAUCCCUCUGCGCAAGACAGUACAGAUCACAAUGAUGAAUCAGAUGGGAAAAAGUCCGACACUGAUAAUAAAAAGC